GCAGUGGUGGUUCAGUGGUAGAACUCUCCUCUUCCAUGGGGGAGACCCGGGUUUGAUUCCCAGCCAAAGCA
rnacentral:tRNA from 1 species